GGUUAAGUUAGAAAGGGCGCACGGUGGAUGCCUUGGCACUAGGAGCCGAAGAAGGACGGGACUAACACCGAUAUGCUUUGGGGAGCUGUACGUAAGCGUUGAUCCAGAGAUUUCCGAAUGGGGGAACCCACUAUCUUUAGUCGGAUAGUAUCCUUACGUGAAUACAUAGCGUGAGGAAGGCAGACCCAGGGAACUGAAACAUCUAAGUACCUGGAGGAAGAGAAAGAAAAAUCGAUUUCCUGAGUAGCGGCGAGCGAAACGGAAAGAGCCCAAACCAAGAAGCUUGCUUCUUGGGGUUGUAGGACACUCUAUACGGAGUUACAAAAGAAAGUUAUAAAUGAAGCGGUCUGGAAAGGCCCGCCAAAGACGGUAACAGCCCGGUAGUUGAAAUGGCUUUCCCUCCAGAGUGGAUCCUGAGUACGGCGGAACACGUGAAAUUCCGUCGGAAUCCGGGAGGACCAUCUCCCAAGGCUAAAUACUCCCUAGUGACCGAUAGUGAACCAGUACCGUGAGGGAAAGGUGAAAAGCACCCCGGAAGGGGAGUGAAACAGUUCCUGAAACCGUGUGCCUACAAGUAGUUAGAGCCCGUUAAUGGGUGAUAGCGUGCCUUUUGUAGAAUGAACCGGCGAGUUACGAUUUGUUGCAAGGUUAAGCGGAAAAAGCGGAGCCGUAGCGAAAGCGAGUCUGAAUAGGGCGCAUAAGUAACAGGUCGUAGACCCGAAACCAGGUGAUCUACCCAUGUCCAGGAUGAAGGUAAGGUAAUACUUACUGGAGGUCCGAACCCACGCACGUUGAAAAGUGCGGGGAUGAGGUGUGGGUAGCGGAGAAAUUCCAAUCGAACUUGGAGAUAGCUGGUUCUCUCCGAAAUAGCUUUAGGGCUAGCCUCGAGGUAAAGAGUCAUGGAGGUAGAGCACUGUUUGGACUAGGGGCCCUUCUCGGGUUACCGAAUUCAGAUAAACUCCGAAUGCCAUGUACUUAUACUCGGGAGUCAGACUGCGAGUGAUAAGAUCCGUAGUCGAAAGGGAAACAGCCCAGACCACCAGUUAAGGUCCCCAAAUAUAUGUUAAGUGGAAAAGGAUGUGGGGUUGCUUAGACAACCAGGAUGUUGGCUUAGAAGCAGCCACCAUUGAAAGAGUGCGUAAUAGCUCACUGGUCGAGUGACCCCGCGCCGAAAAUGUACCGGGGCUAAACAUAUUACCGAAACUGUGGAUGAACCUCUUUAGAGGUUCGUGGUAGGAGAGCGUUCUAAGGGCGGUGAAGUCAGACCGGAAGGACUGGUGGAGCGCUUAGAAGUGAGAAUGCCGGUAUGAGUAGCGAAAGAAGGGUGAGAAUCCCUUCCACCGAAUAUCUAAGGUUUCCUGAGGAAGGCUCGUCCGCUCAGGGUUAGUCGGGACCUAAGCCGAGGCCGAUAGGCGUAGGCGAUGGACAACAGGUAGAGAUUCCUGUACCAGUGCUAAUUGUUUAACCGAUGGGGUGACACAGAAGGAUAGGGAAUCGCACGAAUGGAAAUGUGCGUCCAAGCAGUGAGUGUGAGAAGUAGGCAAAUCCGCUUCUCGCGAAGCAUGAGCUGUGAUGGGGAAGGAAAUUAAGUACGGAAGUUCCUGAUUUCACGCUGUCAAGAAAAGCCUCUAGGAAGAGUAGUACUGCCCGUACCGCAAACCGACACAGGUAGAUGAGGAGAGAAUCCUAAGGUGAGCGAGAGAACUCUCGUUAAGGAACUCGGCAAAAUGACCCCGUA
rnacentral:rRNA from 1 species